ACGGGUGAGUAACACGUAUCCAACCUGCCGUCUACUCUUGGCCAGCCUUCUGAAAGGAAGAUUAAUCCAGGAUGGCAUCAUGAGUUCACAUGUCCGCAUGAUUAAAGGUAUUUUCCGGUAGACGAUGGGGAUGCGUUCCAUUAGAUAGUAGGCGGGGUAACGGCCCACCUAGUCAACGAUGGAUAGGGGUUCUGAGAGGAAGGUCCCCCACAUUGGAACUGAGACACGGUCCA
rnacentral:rRNA from 1 species